rnacentral:rRNA from 1 species
AUUGAACGCUGGCGGCAGGCUUAACACAUGCAAGUCGAGCGGAGUGAUGGUGCUUGCACUAUCACUUAGCGGCGGACGGGUGAGUAAUGCUUAGGAAUCUGCCUAUUAGUGGGGGACAACAUCUCGAAAGGGAUGCUAAUACCGCAUACGUCCUACGGGAGAAAGCAGGGGAUCACUUGCGACCUUGCGCUAAUAGAUGAGCCUAAGUCGGAUUAGCUAGUCGGUGGGGUAAAGGCCUACCAAGGCGACGAUCUGUAGCGGGUCUGAGAGGAUGAUCCGCCACACUGGGACUGAGACACGGCCCAGACUCCUACGGGAGGUAGCAGUGGGGAAUAUUGGACAAUGGGGGGAACCCUGAUCCAGCCAUGCCGCGUGUGUGAAGAAGGCCUUAUGGUUGUAAAGCACUUUAAGCGAGGAGGAGGCUCUUUUGGUUAAUACCCAAGAUGAGUGGACGUUACUCGCAGAAUAAGCACCGGCUAACUCUGUGCCAGCAGCCGCGGUAA